GCAGAGAUUCGUUGGCAAUAUAUAAACUUGAAGUUCAGAAAUCCUUAUUCGCAGGCCUGUCUCCCAAAAGUCAAGAUGACAUUUUGUAUCAAAGAACUGUUGCUGGUGCUCCUUUUUGUGGGCCUUACUGCAGCAAUGAGAGGAGACCGCUCGGAUUUUUACCCGCCUCCUAUUCAUCGAUAAUAUAUUACCAUAGAUUACCAUGAAGAUGAUAUUCCUUGACGUCCAACUACUUUUAUAAAAAGAAAGAUACUUCUACAGAAUUUCUACACAACAGCUCAGCUGCUAAUGUUACUGAAUAAAAUGAUUUCUCCAACUCAUGUGAAAGGUA